rnacentral:lncRNA from 1 species
CAAGUUCCAGGUCAGUCUGGGCAAUUUAGCAAGUCGUAUUUAAAAAAAAAAAAAAAUAUAUAUAUAUAUAUAUAUAUAUAUAUAUACACACACACACACACACACAUACAUAUACACACAAAUAAAUGUGUAAAUAUUUAUUUACUUAUUUAUUUAAAGGAUUGGGGUACAGCUCAGUGUUAGAGAGCCCCUGGGUUCAGUCCCUAGUCCAAUACACACACACACAAGAGAAAGUGGUUGCUGUCCUCAGAUUAUUUUUCUUCUGUAGGACAAAAGCAUCAGACAUCUUUAUAUCAGCCAGGCUUGGUGGCACAUGCCUGUAAUCCCAGCAGCUUGGUAGGCUGAGGCAGGAGAAUUGCAAUUUCAAAGCCAGCCUCAGCAACUUAGUGAAGCCCUAAGUAAUUUAGCAAGAUUUUGUCUCAAAAUAAAACAUGAAAAGGGCUGGGGAUGUGGCUCAGUGGUUAAGCACCCCUGGGUUCAAUUUUGCCAGUGCAAAAAAAUAUAUAUAUAUCUUUCUACCCAGUGAUGGGGUGGGUGUGGCUAUUUGAUCAGGUGGUCUUGGAUCAUUUUCUUUACCUUCAUUGGACAGAGAUGGGGCAGGCAGGGCAGUGGGCCUCCCUCUUUGCUGUGACCUCUUGGGGCAGACUGGGGCCACUUCCCUGACAGAAUCCUGAUGACAGAGAGAUGCAGGUCCCACCUUGUCAGCCCUGUUGGGGAGGAGGAUAUCUACCAUGGGUGGCAGCAGGGAGGACUCUGUCACAUGGCAGGGUCUGGAAUCCUUGUCCUUAUGCUGGAGGAGCUAGCAGGGUACCUGCAGAACCCAGCGUGGUUGUCUUGAGUAGGGAUGAUGGACCUGAGAGGGUGACAGCAGGACUGGGGAGUCUGGGCAGGGUGUUGGGCUGGUUUACGUCAGCCCUGGCCCUAGCAGUCUGCAGUGGUGGCCAACUUUGGAGCAGGCUGCUCACAGCAGAGUUCUGUUGGGAAACCUCUUGACCUACGGAGAGCACACCAGUCCAGGGCUAAGGGCCCUACUGGUUCUGCCCCUAGGAAACUCAGACCAAGCUCACAGGGGCUAACUCUACCAGGUCAGACCUGUCAGAAGGGACCUGGCCAGCCUAGCGGCAUCUGGCGUCGCAGUCCCCUUCAAGGCAAAAGGGGUGUUUGUUGAGACCCUUGGCUAGGGGGAAAUGGGGUUAGUGUCUAGGUUGCCGAGAGGCCUGGCUGUGUGGAGAAUAGGAUUCUGGGCAGUGUGUGACUGUUCCUUCUGAGGAACAGAGCAGUGGGUGACCAUGGCUUGCGAGGAAAGGGGCCAAGAUGGGCACUCCAGCAAGGUUGUACCUCUCAGCUUACAGCCUAAGCUGUUUGCCUGUUGGUCCCUGUAGACCUCCAGCCAGGUCGGUCACCUGUGCCUGUAACCAUACAGCCCAGGUUCCCAGGGUGGUUGGAGUGUUGGCUGGCCCGGUCAGGGAGCCUGGCAAGGAGCAGGAGCAUUUGGUAGAGUGAGGGGCUGGGGAGCUCAUCACUGGCCAAGAUCAAGGAGGCAGGGCGUGAAGCAGGGACUCAGGGCAGACUUUGCCCACACAGCACACAGGGAUGGCUGCCUGUGGGCAGUGCUCCUGACUCUGCUCCCAGCGGUGUGCCUGGGCAUCCUGCAGAGGGUGGGUAGGGAGCCUGAGGUGCCCUUCAUCCUGCCUUUCCUAAGUGUGAGAGCUGAGCAGCCCCCCAAGGAUCAUUGCCCUGCACUGUGUUCCACAGGUAGAAGGUGGGCCCCACACAAGGCAGGACCCCAGGGUGGCCGGGAGUGGUCUCACCAGAGCCUCUCUGCCCCACCCUCUGAGCUGGCCUUGAUGUGCUUCCUUAUUUGCUCUUCAGGUGUAUGUGGCUGCCAAAAGGGGAGGCUCCCCUGAAGACACACUGACAGGCGCCUUGUGUCCUCUGUACCCUGGCUGCCUAGGGCUGACCUUAUGUGGCCCACCUCAUUGGUCCUGCUGUGCCGACUGGAGCACCAUCAGGAGGGUGCAGGCAGGGCCAGGCCAUGACUGCUCCUUGACCCCAGCCAGGCUCCUGAGGCCUAGAAAGAGCAGAAGCUCCAAGGGGCUCUCAGGGCCCACUGUGGAUUGGCCCUGCCCUCCCUCUCCCUUGGCAAGGUACCAGGAAGCUAGAGCUUUGUUAUCUGGGUAAUUAGCUUCAGACCCUGGACUGAGUCCAGCCAGGUCUUAGGGCUACGUCCCACAAUAGGUGUACCCUGAUCUCAAAAGGGAAGUGAGGUGCUGCCUGUCUAGAGACCCUGCUAUCUGAGCAACCAAGGGGCCAGGCCUGCGUGGGACCAGCUGUGGUAUCCUUACACGCCCUUCCUUCUUGGGCUGUGCCCCUCAGGGCUGCCUGGGCCUGAUCACAGCCUCGCCAGGGGCCAAGGGCACAAGCCUCAGGAAGGGAAUGCCCUCAGAGGUGUCAGUCCAGCCAGCUGCUCUGCCACUCAAGCCUGGUCUGACCCCCAUCCCCUGCACUGUGGUACCCCAAGCAGCCCUGUGGGUAGACACCCCCGACCAUGGCUGAGCACCUGGAACUACUGGCAGAGAUGCCCAUGGUGGGCAAGAUGAGCACCCAGGAGCGGCUGAAGCAUGCCCAGAAGCGGCGUGCCCAGCAGGUGAAGAUCUGGGCCCAGGCUGAGAAGGAGGCCCAGGCCAAAAAAGGCAAGUGGAGGCAGCUGCAGAAGGAGGCAGCUGGCCGAGGGCCCCCGAAGCAAGUUGUCUUCCCUCCCAGCGUUGUCCUUCUGGAAGCUGCUGCCCGAAAUGACCUGGAAGAAGGUGAGUGCACUUGUCCCAGGGUGGUACACAAUGGCACUCCCAUCCAUGUGGGCGUGGCCUCAUCGUGUGUUGGGCUCUGGGCUGGGCCUGUGCCCGUCCAGCACUCUUGGGCUUUAGCCACAGGGCAACCAGGGUCUCUGGUUAGGACAACCCCCACUGAGACAGCUCUUCUUCAGCAGAGGCCUCAUGCAAAAGGUCCUGCUGUGAGGCAGGCCAGUUGAGAGAGUACCAGGCUGCAGGGGGCGCCCAUCAGGGCCUGCAGAAGCAUCCAGUGUGUGGGGCUGAGCAGGCUGACAACUCUCACCGCCUCUUGUAAGGAUGCUAGGCUGUGGGUGAGCGCCCUGGCCUCUGCCAGCUGUUCCCUGAGUCCCACCUCUGCAGAGGAGGGUGCUCAUACUUACCUCCAGUUGCAAGAGUCGGGCAAGCUGACCCGGAGCCCACACGGCUGACCCUCUCGCCGCUGCCGUCAGUGUUCCCUUUGACUCCUUCCUUACCAUUGGAGCCUUCCCAGCCUGAUGCCAGCCUGACCUUUCUGCAAGCCCCUCUUCCUCUCCAUGCCUCGUAUUUGUGACCCUCUGAGUACAAGGCUCUGGAGUCUGGGGAGGAGACCUCUUGAUUUUUCUUAAGGGCUCUUCCUGUGUCUUUUGGGGGCAGAGGUGAGGAGGAGUGGGCAGUGACAGUGCAGGAGCCCUCCUGAGACCUGGAGGCUGAGAGGGGACCUGUGGAGAAGGGUGCCAUGUGUGCCACAGGCCUGACCACAAGGAGCCGUGUCUUACUGCUGCAUGGCCAGAGAGGACCCCAGGGACCUUGGCGAUAGCGUGGUCUGAGAUAGGAUUUCUGAAGGGGAGCAAGGGCAGGGACAGGCACUGGUUGAGGGGCUGGGCUCAACAUCAGGAAGAUCAGAGGAGUGUAAGCCCCUACGCUGGGAGCUGAGGGUGGAAUCACCGGCAAGCGGUCUCACAGGAGGGCCGGUUCUGCGGUCUUAGGGGUUGGGUGUCAUGAUAGGAGAGGGGCUGGUGCUGCUGUGUGUGCGGCCUAUUUGGGGCAGACAGACACCCCAGGCUCCUUGAGUCUGCAUGCUUCCUGCCAUCUACACCAGUCUUCUUCUCCCUUCCCUGAUCCCUGGGCAUCAGCAUCAUGGGCCCAGGUGGCCUUGGGCCAGGGAUGGCGUAGGCCAGUCAAGGCCUCACCCAGACGUCACCACCCCCUUCUUACAGUCCGCCAGCUCCUCAGGAGUGGAGUCAGCCCCGACCUGGCCAAUGAGGAUGGGCUGACAGCACUGCACCAGGUCAGCCUGUGUGCGGGGUGGGCAGGGCAGGGGCUGGCAGGGCUCAGGCCACUCAGGCUGUGUGUUUGCAGUGCUGCAUUGAUGAUUUCCGAGAGAUGGUGCAACAGCUCCUGGAGGCUGGGGCUGACGUCAAUGCCCGUGACAGCGAGUGCUGGACCCCCCUGCAUGCUGCAGCCACCUGUGGCCACCUGCACCUGGUGGAGCUUCUCAUUGCCCGGUAGUGUCCAUUGGGCCUUUAUCAUGGAGGGGCUUUCUCACAGAUGGCAGCUCAUGUGGCUAUUCUGUGAAGCUGGUCAGGUCCUGGCUUCCUGUGUCCUCACCUCUGUCCAUCCUGCUUGAGACCCCUGGGGGAUAGUUUGGGCCCACCUGGUAGGCUGGACCACCAGCUCUGGAUGGAGGGCCUUCUCAUGGUCUCCCCUGAGAAAUGCCAUUCUGGUUAGGGUUGAGGGUAGAACGAAUAAGGGGGUAAGGGGAGCAGAGAGGCCAGGUGGGUCUCGGAGGGUGUGCGUGGGUAUCGGUGAGGACUUUUCUCCAACAGGAAGGAAGGUGGAGUGGGGAGUGGUGGUAAGCCCUGUAACUCCAGCUACUUGGGAGGCUGCGACAGGAGGAUCUCAAGUUCAAGGCCAGCCUGGGCAACUUAGAUCUUAUCUCAAAGAUUAAAAAAAAAUGUUUUGGUGGUAUUGGGGAUUAAACUCAGGAUCUCAGGCUAGGCAGCCAUUCUACCACUAAGCUAUAUCCCCAGCCCUUUAAAGUAAAAAAAGAAAAAAUAAAAAAGUAACAAUUAAUGAAAGGACUGAGGAUGUAGCUCAGCUUUUGCCAAGGGUGGACGUGGCUUUGGGUUCAAUCCCUAGUUACACACACACACACACACAUAAAUAAAUAAAUAAAUAGGACUGGGGAUUUUACUUAGUGUUAAAGCACAUCUGGGCUCAGUCCCCAGUACUGGGGGAUGGGAGGAGGAUGGAGCAGAGGAGGUUAGUGGCUUCCUCAGGUUCAGGAGCCUGUCCUUCCUCCCCCCAUCCUGGGCCUCUCCAGUAGAUCAGAGAUCCUCGUGUGGGUGACUGGCUGUUGCCAUCACACAUAAGUGCCUCCUCUGAGUAGAGCAGUAGCCAUGCAGCAAACAGGCCCCCAGGCUCCCCUUGGAGCUGGUGACAGGCUGCAGGUGGGUUCCAAACCUUAGGCAGCCCCUCUGUGUCCUUUGCUCCCCCCAGCUCCCCUUCCCCCAGGCCUGCUUCCCCUGAUCUGUGGGCUCAAAAUCAGCAACUGCUUGGCUUUCUUGCUUCACUUCUCCCUGGGGUCCCCAGAGUGCUGCGUACCUCCUGCAGGUGUACCCUGUAUUUAUGGGGGACAGACGGGUGCCUUGGGCCUUGAAGCCCAGAUGGGUAGACUGCAGGAUGGCCUGUCUGCCUGAGGAACAAGAUCCAGAGCUGAGGGCCUUCCAGAUGAGCCCAGAGGCUUCCUCUCCCAACAGCAGCUAGAACCUACGAGUCCUCCCCAUGUCUGCUGGCACUUCCUGAAGGCAGUCCGAGGCUCAGGGAGGACUUGCUGAAAGGGGACUGAGCAGCCGGCAGCUCUCAUCCGUCCUCCCUGCAGGGGUGCUGAUCUCCUGGCAGUCAACACUGAUGGGAACAUGCCUUAUGACCUGUGUGAGGAUGAGCAGACACUGGACUGCCUGGAGACUGCCAUGGCCCACAGGGGUGAGUGUGCUGUGCCUGCCUGCUCGGGUGGGCCUGGGCAUUCCGUCUCUGAGCCUGCUGCUCCACAGGCAUCACCCAGGACAGCAUUGAGGAGGCCCGGGCCGUGCCAGAGCUGCUCAUGCUGAAGGACCUCCAGAGCCUUCUGCAUGUUGGGGCUGACCUCAAUGACCCGCUGGACCAUGGAGCCACACUGGUGAGGACUUGGCCACGUGGAGGGGGUCUGUUCAGGGGCUGGGGGCUUGUUGGGUGGGUGUGGGACUGGGAUUCAGGGCGGGGUGGCCUGCCUGCAGCUGCACAUGGCCGCCGCCAGUGGGUUCAGUGAGGCAGCUGCCCUGCUGCUGGAGCAUGGAGCCAGCCUGACUGCCAAGGACCUCGACGGCUGGGAGCCGCUGCACGCUGCCGCCUACUGGGGACAGGUGAGUGUGGUCAGGAGCAGAUGCUGAGCGGGCUCUUGGCUGCGGCUCAAGCCCUCAGCAGCCCCCACUGGCUGGCCUGCAGGUGCACCUGGUGGAGCUGCUUGUGGCAAACGGGGCCGACCUGAAUGGGAGAUCCCUGACGGAUGAGACACCCCUUGGUGAGCUCCAGGGCUGCCUCCACCUGGGGGAAGGGACAGGCAGGGAGGGCCCCUGUGACGCUUGUGGUCAUCUCUCAGAUGUCUGUGGUGAUGAGGAGGUGCGGGCCAGGCUGCUGCAGCUGAAGCAGAAGCAGGAGGCACUCUUGCGAGCCCAGGGCCGCCAGCGCUCCCUGCUGCGCCGCCGCGCCUCCAGUGCAGGCAGCCGCGGGUGAGCUGCCCCACAGUCCAUGCCCAGCCCCCACCCCGGCUGUGCCUCAGGAUGGAUGGGAUGUCAGCCUGCAGGUGGAGCUGCCAGCACAACUAGGCCGGGUCUG